UGGGGAAUUUUGGACAAUGGGCGAAAGCCUGAUCCAGCAAUGCCGCGUGUGUGAAGAAGGCCUUCGGGUUGUAAAGCACUUUUGUCCGGAAAGAAAUCCUUGGCUCUAAUACAGUCGGGGGAUGACGGUACCGGAAGAAUAAGCACCGGCUAACUACGUGCCAGCAGCCGCGGUAAUACGUAGGGUGCAAGCGUUAAUCGGAAUUACUGGGCGUAAAGCGUGCGCAGGCGGUCUGCUAAGACCGAUGUGAAAUCCCCGGGCUCAACCUGGGAACUGCAUUGGUGACUGGCAGGCUAGAGUAUGGCAGAGGGGGGUAGAAUUCCACGUGUAGCAGUGAAAUGCGUAGAGAUGUGGAGGAAUACCGAUGGCGAAGGCAGCCCCCUGGGCCAAUACUGACGCUCAUGCACGAAAGCGUGGGGAGCAAACAGGAUUAGAUACCCUGGUAGUCCACGCCCUAAACGAUGUCAACUAGUUGUUGGGGAUUCAUUUCCUAGUAACGUAGCUAACGCGUGAAGUUGACCGCCUGGGGAGUACGGUCGCAAGAUUAAAACUCAAAGGAAUUGACGGGGU
rnacentral:rRNA from 1 species